AGCGUCCGCCCACCUGUCAGGUGCAGUCUGGAUGAGGAAGUGAAUGCUCCAUUUCUUUAUUGCUGCUGCAUUCAUCCUGUAUUCUACGGGAAGUUUCCGUCUCUUCACAGCUCUGAUGAAAAUGGCCAGCGGAGCGAGGCCAGAUUCCUGUACACAAUGAUGCAGUCCCUGCACAUUAUGCCGAGACUCGCUGAAAGUCCGCAUUUGCAGUGCGGGAAAACGACGCCAUUGUACCGGCCUGUACUAUGACCUCCUAAUACCCACUAUAAGCCAGUAUGAAGGAGCUUCCAGUACAACCAACCGGACCUUGCAUCAGCAUUGAGGAGUUCAGGAGUCGGCAGAGAAGAAAGAGGCUGAUUGCAGCGGGACAGAUGACAUGGAUCCAUCCUUCCAUAGCCAGGAGCUCACCGACCUGUGUGCCACACUUCAAAUAAGACUAGAAGCUACACUGGAUCUCACAGCUACACACCACAGACGUCUACACACCACAGACAGCUACACACCACAGACAGCUACACACCACAGACGUCUACACGCCACAGAUGUCUACACAAUGGGGCAGAUUCGGACAGAGUCCCCCAAAGAACAUAUGACCCAGAGGCUGCAAAGAGACAUUUCAAGCUUCACCUGAUUAGCUUUUC